rnacentral:rRNA from 1 species
CCUACGGGAGGCAGCAGUGGGGAAUUUUGGACAAUGGGCGCAAGCCUGAUCCAGCCAUUCCGCGUGCAGGAUGAAGGCCUUCGGGUUGUAAACUGCUUUUGUACGGAACGAAAAGGCUCUGGCUAAUACCUGGGGCUCAUGACGGUACCGUAAGAAUAAGCACCGGCUAACUACGUGCCAGCAGCCGCGGUAAUACGUAGGGUGCGAGCGUUAAUCGGAAUUACUGGGCGUAAAGCGUGCGCAGGCGGUUAUGUAAGACAGAGGUGAAAUCCCCGGGCUCAACCGGGGAACUGCCUUUGUGACUGCAUGACUAGAGUACGGCAGAGGGGGAUGGAAUUCCGCGUGUAGCAGUGAAAUGCGUAGAUAUGCGGAGGAACACCGAUGGCGAAGGCAAUCCCCUGGGCCUGUACUGACGCUCAUGCACGAAAGCGUGGGGAGCAAACAGGAUUAGAUCCCUUGGUAGU